GGGUUGUGAGGUUAAGCGACUAAGCGUACACGGUGGAUGCCCUGGCAGUCAGAGGCGAUGAAGGACGUGCUAAUCUGCGAUAAGCGUCGGUAAGGUGAUAUGAACCGUUAUAACCGGCGAUUUCCGAAUGGGGAAACCCAGUGUGUUUCGACACACUAUCAUUAACUGAAUCCAUAGGUUAAUGAGGCGAACCGGGGGAACUGAAACAUCUAAGUACCCCGAGGAAAAGAAAUCAACCGAGAUUCCCCCAGUAGCGGCGAGCGAACGGGGAGCAGCCCAGAGCCUGAAUCAGUGUGUGUGUUAGUGGAAGCGUCUGGAAAGGCGCGCGAUACAGGGUGACAGCCCCGUACACAAAAAUGCACAUGCUGUGAGCUCGAUGAGUAGGGCGGGACACGUGGUAUCCUGUCUGAAUAUGGGGGGACCAUCCUCCAAGGCUAAAUACUCCUGACUGACCGAUAGUGAACCAGUACCGUGAGGGAAAGGCGAAAAGAACCCCGGCGAGGGGAGUGAAAAAGAACCUGAAACCGUGUACGUACAAGCAGUGGGAGCACGCUUAGGCGUGUGACUGCGUACCUUUUGUAUAAUGGGUCAGCGACUUAUAUUCUGUAGCAAGGUUAACCGAAUAGGGGAGCCGAAGGGAAACCGAGUCUUAACUGGGCGUUAAGUUGCAGGGUAUAGACCCGAAACCCGGUGAUCUAGCCAUGGGCAGGUUGAAGGUUGGGUAACACUAACUGGAGGACCGAACCGACUAAUGUUGAAAAAUUAGCGGAUGACUUGUGGCUGGGGGUGAAAGGCCAAUCAAACCGGGAGAUAGCUGGUUCUCCCCGAAAGCUAUUUAGGUAGCGCCUCGUGAAUUCAUCUCCGGGGGUAGAGCACUGUUUCGGCAAGGGGGUCAUCCCGACUUACCAACCCGAUGCAAACUGCGAAUACCGGAGAAUGUUAUCACGGGAGACACACGGCGGGUGCUAACGUCCGUCGUGAAGAGGGAAACAACCCAGACCGCCAGCUAAGGUCCCAAAGUCAUGGUUAAGUGGGAAACGAUGUGGGAAGGCCCAGACAGCCAGGAUGUUGGCUUAGAAGCAGCCAUCAUUUAAAGAAAGCGUAAUAGCUCACUGGUCGAGUCGGCCUGCGCGGAAGAUGUAACGGGGCUAAACCAUGCACCGAAGCUGCGGCAGCGACACUAUGUGUUGUUGGGUAGGGGAGCGUUCUGUAAGCCUGUGAAGGUGUGCUGUGAGGCAUGCUGGAGGUAUCAGAAGUGCGAAUGCUGACAUAAGUAACGAUAAAGCGGGUGAAAAGCCCGCUCGCCGGAAGACCAAGGGUUCCUGUCCAACGUUAAUCGGGGCAGGGUGAGUCGACCCCUAAGGCGAGGCCGAAAGGCGUAGUCGAUGGGAAACAGGUUAAUAUUCCUGUACUUGGUGUUACUGCGAAGGGGGGACGGAGAAGGCUAUGUUGGCCGGGCGACGGUUGUCCCGGUUUAAGCGUGUAGGCUGGUUUUCCAGGCAAAUCCGGAAAAUCAAGGCUGAGGCGUGAUGACGAGGCACUACGGUGCUGAAGCAACAAAUGCCCUGCUUCCAGGAAAAGCCUCUAAGCAUCAGGUAACAUCAAAUCGUACCCCAAACCGACACAGGUGGUCAGGUAGAGAAUACCAAGGCGCUUGAGAGAACUCGGGUGAAGGAACUAGGCAAAAUGGUGCCGUAACUUCGGGAGAAGGCACGCUGAUAUGUAGGUGAAGUCCCUUGCGGAUGGAGCUGAAAUCAGUCGAAGAUACCAGCUGGCUGCAACUGUUUAUUAAAAACACAGCACUGUGCAAACACGAAAGUGGACGUAUACGGUGUGACGCCUGCCCGGUGCCGGAAGGUUAAUUGAUGGGGUCAGCGCAAGCGAAGCUCUUGAUCGAAGCCCCGGUAAACGGCGGCCGUAACUAUAACGGUCCUAAGGUAGCGAAAUUCCUUGUCGGGUAAGUUCCGACCUGCACGAAUGGCGUAAUGAUGGCCAGGCUGUCUCCACCCGAGACUCAGUGAAAUUGAACUCGCUGUGAAGAUGCAGUGUACCCGCGGCAAGACGGAAAGACCCCGUGAACCUUUACUAUAGCUUGACACUGAACAUUGAGCCUUGAUGUGUAGGAUAGGUGGGAGGCUUUGAAGUGUGGACGCCAGUCUGCAUGGAGCCGACCUUGAAAUACCACCCUUUAAUGUUUGAUGUUCUAACGUGGACCCGUGAUCCGGGUUGCGGACAGUGUCUGGUGGGUAGUUUGACUGGGGCGGUCUCCUCCUAAAGAGUAACGGAGGAGCACGAAGGUUGGCUAAUCCUGGUCGGACAUCAGGAGGUUAGUGCAAUGGCAUAAGCCAGCUUGACUGCGAGCGUGACGGCGCGAGCAGGUGCGAAAGCAGGUCAUAGUGAUCCGGUGGUUCUGAAUGGAAGGGCCAUCGCUCAACGGAUAAAAGGUACUCCGGGGAUAACAGGCUGAUACCGCCCAAGAGUUCAUAUCGACGGCGGUGUUUGGCACCUCGAUGUCGGCUCAUCACAUCCUGGGGCUGAAGUAGGUCCCAAGGGUAUGGCUGUUCGCCAUUUAAAGUGGUACGCGAGCUGGGUUUAGAACGUCGUGAGACAGUUCGGUCCCUAUCUGCCGUGGGCGCUGGAGAACUGAGGGGGGCUGCUCCUAGUACGAGAGGACCGGAGUGGACGCAUCACUGGUGUUCGGGUUGUCAUGCCAAUGGCACUGCCCGGUAGCUAAAUGCGGAAGAGAUAAGUGCUGAAAGCAUCUAAGCACGAAACUUGCCCCGAGAUGAGUUCUCCCUGACCCUUUAAGGGUCCUGAAGGAACGUUGAAGACGACGACGUUGAUAGGCCGGGUGUGUAAGCGCAGCGAUGCGUUGAGCUAACCGGUACUAAUGAACCGUGAGGCUUAACCUUACAACGCCGAAGCUGUU
rnacentral:rRNA from 1 species